CACUAGAUGUCUGAAAGCAAGUAGUGGUCUCUUAAACCACCCAUAGUAAUUUCGCAAUUACUUCUAGUGA
rnacentral:tRNA from 1 species